rnacentral:rRNA from 1 species
UACGUAGGGGGCUAGCGUUGUCCGGAAUCAUUGGGCGUAAAGCGUGCGUAGGCGGCCAGAUAAGUCCGGUGUGAAAGUCGCAGGCUCAACCUGGGAAUGCCGCUGGAAACUGUCUGGCUAGAGUCCGGAAGGGGCGAGUGGAAUUCCUGGUGUAGCGGUGAAAUGCGCAGAUAUCAGGAGGAACACCAAUGGCGAAGGCAGCUCGCUGGGCCGGUACUGACGCUGAGGCGCGAAAGCGUGGGGAGCGAACAGG